GCUGCUUUUGCAGUCCACAGCUACUGGAUUGAUUUUACUUGGAUACACUUAGGUUUUUUUUUUUAUUGAGGCGUGUUCAGCAAAAAGUAGGGUGCUAGGUUUGGCUACAUCAGACCAAACAGGGCUUGAGAUGCUGGGACACAGGUCUGUACAGAGAACUCUGAAACAGAAAGCAAGUCAGAAGAUAAUUUCUCUUGAAGGCAUUUCAGGCACCUGCCGUUCCAAUUGGGCUCUUUUGGAAAGAAGCAUCCAGUGGGAUGAAUGCAAGAAUCAAGGCAGAAGUAGUUUGAUACGAUUUGGAGUUUCAGGACUGCAUGCUGAACUCAGCCCUAGUGCUCAAGCUUUGAGAACAUUCAAUCCUUGCAGUCUGUUCUCCUACAACCUAUAAUCAGGGCCUCAUGGGAGCUACAACUAGUCAUUCGCACAGCUCCAGUGUUGAGCCAGAAAUCUCCAGGUUUCCUGAGGGCAUCAAUCUCUAGAUUAGAUAUUGAAAGGCUGCUCUCAGAUCUCCCCGGGGCCUUCUCUUCUCCAGUCUGAACACCUCCAGCUCUCCCAGACUGUCCUCACAGGGAGGUGUUUCAUCCCUUGGAUCAUUUUUGUGGCCCUCUUCUGGAUGUGCUCCAACAGACACAUCUCUCCUGUACUGACUCCAUGUCUGGAUGCAGUACUCCAGCAUAGCUUCCAGGAGGAUCUGUUCCAUGACCUUCCUCACCACAGAGAUGAGGCUGACAGAGUUUCUUCUGGGCAGGAUGGCAAGAGCUGAAUAACAACUUAUAAAUUGGUUGCUGAAUGAAUAAGAGGCUUGUAUACACGUACUCCUGCUGAGUCUGGCCAUAAGCAAUCACUGGGAGAUGGAUAACUUUGGAAGUUCCCUGCAGAGAAGAGAGAGAGAAGAGCAAGAGCUGAGCUAACAGUAUCAGCAGAUGAGAAGUGAUGAAUACCUAACUGAAGUCUGAAAUUCCUGCUGGUUCUCUUCCGGAUGAGUGGUGAGCACCAGCCUGCUGCCUCCUGCCUGUCCAUCCCCUCCCCAAGGGAUGAGGUGCAGAUGGACACAGCAUCUCUCCAGAGGCAAGAGAUGCACACAGCUUCACUUCUGGUAUCCUUGCUUGCUCAUCUAGCCAUUGUCAAGGCAGCUGUCAUCCGGGAGCCCUGGAGCUGCAAUGCAGAAGUAAGUAUCACUACCUUCAAUUUUACAGAUCAGAAAACUGAAACAGAAAUGUAAAAUGAAUCACUUCAGAUCUACUUUUCUUGUGGUGCCAUCAUUUAUAAUGUUCAGCUCUGAUCCGCACAAGUUUAUCUAUUUGACCCUAGUGCUUUUCUGCCCUUUUGGGGGGCAUUUCUUUGAUCACUGUCAGCGUAUAUCCUCUGACAGAGCCCUGUUAGAUUUGCACAGUGGGGAGAUAAAACAAUGAGUGUGUAAGUACAGACAUGUAGCUCAUCACAAUGACAUGGCAGUAAUGCACUGAGUUCAGCUCACCCUGGAAGAUGGUCUGAUCCUUGAUAGAUUUAUCACAGCCAAAGACGUGAUUACCAAUCCCACUGCAGAUUUCUUCUAAGUUACUACUUUUCUUAAAGGCACAACGUGUCCCAAUACUUUCUGUUAGAAUUGUGAAUACUUUUGUUUCUUCUUGAAGACCCAAUGGAUUUUUUUCCAUAAACAUUUCUGAAGCCCUUUGAUUCUGGGAGGCCAUUCCAGCACAUAUAAUUUUCUCAAAAUCUUAAUCACUUUACAAAAGCAGUUUUUCUACAUCUCUGUGCCCAGAGACACUGCUGAUGCCCCAUCCCUGCAGGAGGGUUGGAACUAGGUGAUCUUCAAGCUCUCUUCCAACCCAAGCCAUUCUGUGUUUCUGCAAUAUUGUGCAGUUGCAAAUAUUCCUGUUGAAUGCUUAAUUCUCUGUAGUAUUCCAACUUAGAUUUCAUCAAAGCGAGUAGAAAAAUUGAAGUUAAGUUCCUGUUACACAUAAAAGUGAAGAACAUAAGGGUUUUUAAAAAGAACAUAUGGAUACAAAUGUACAUAUUUAAACAAACAUGUUCCAAUCAGCUCAGAUUUUUCUUUUCUUUCUCGUGUGAUCAAAAUGUGAUAAGACACGGUGGAUACUGAAGUCCCUACAGGGCCAGAUCUGAGUCUUGCAAAAGAUGUUAGGAAAAUUUCCAGUGAUUUCUCUGAGUCUCAGACCAGAUCUUUGUUGUUGCGAAAACAUCGGUGAACAACAAUUCAUCUAUGUGCAAAACUCCUGUAUAUAGUUCCAGAUGCCAAAAAUUCUCUAUGCAAUUUCAAUUCUAUUUUGAAUGUGUACUUCUUCCGCUAAAUGACUUAUUACCUAUGCAAAAUAACCUUAACAAAAUGCAAGAAAUGUACAACCAGGACAGUGAAUCUGUAGAGAUGAGAACAUGAACAGAAAAUUUGCCAUGGAAAUGAACAUUGAUUUUUAUGCUUUCUAUUUUUUUUCUGAUGCAGUUCUCAGAGAAUAAAUAGGAGACUCAGUUUUAAAGGGAACGGUGCUAGUCAGCUUAUACACCGCUUUCUGAGAUCCUUCUCUCAAUGUAUAGGGAAAUAAUUCAGUUACUAAGUACCUUAGUGUCUCCAGAGUUACAGCAGCUAUGUGAGAUGAGAAUCUGUUCCUGCAGUAUGUCUUUAAUAUCAAACAUUCAGACAAUUCAAGAUUUUAGCACUGGAAUAUCCAAAUCUCAUAAAGAUGAGUAAUGCUAUGAUUGCAGAUGUCUUCUGUGGUGUUCGUGUGCUGCUUGUUUGUGGAGAAGGAUCAUUUUUAUACCUUAAGAAAGAAUAGCCAUCUCCCUGAGGUACCUUCUAAUGAUGCCACAAGCGCAUUGCAAUACGUAGUUAAUGGCAGCUUUGUAUUGAUAAUGGACUUCUAUGAAUCAUGAGGAGCAUUAAAAAGAAAACACUUUCUUAUCUGUAUGUUCAGAUGCUUUCUAAUUGCUCAUGUGUAUUUCAAAUAACUUUGCAAUUCCUUGUAUUGCAUUAUUCAGAUUUCCUAGUGUCUCACAGAAAAAUAAUUGAAACGCAACCAAAAGAUUUGCACACCAUUAUGGGGAAUACUUUGUUCUUCACAUUCUUUAUCUUGUUAAUAAAGGAUAAGAACGUGCACAUGUACAUCGCCCUCAAUUUUAUUUUCUACUUUCAAAUGUAGCUAUUUUUCACCUGUAAUAGGUUGUAGAUGUACCAACUUCUCAAUAACAGUAGAACUGAGGGGAAAAACAUAGAGCGUUAAAACAACAAGAAAAAAUAUUGAGUAUUUUCUGGUGAAGCAGAUUGUGUUAGAAACUAUCAUUCAAAUUCCAGUGAGAGCUGAGGACUUCCCAGAUCUCACAUUCUCAACACAGACUGUAGGGCUCACUGUUUCCUGUACUGCACAGUCCUGGGGAUGUUCUACAGCUACUGACAGCUAUAUUUGAAGUGCUGGAAGAUUUAAAGGAAAAUAACUUUAUAAGAACACUUGUAUUGUUCAUCUUAAUAUUUAAGCUAAAAUGUCCCUUGUUUUCUUGUGGGGAAAAAGAACAUGAAUGGAAAGAAAAGAGCAUGUGAUAGGUGCCAUCUGUUCUCUCUUUCUCUCCCCCUUGCUCUCCCCUCUCCCAUAUUUUUCCUUUAAAAAAUAUAUAUAUAUAUAUAUAUUUAUAUAUUUAUAUAUAUAUAAAUUGAAAUUGGUAACUGUGGUUACCUGCCAGGCCUCUUUCAGGGAACAAAGUGAGACAGAAGGGUAGCAGGACUGUGGGUUGCCUGAGGGCCUAGGGAUGAAAUCUCACUUCUGUGCUAGAUGGUCACAACUCUUGGCUAUUCAGUCAUGAGACAGCAAAGGCUUUCAAGGAUCAACAACAAAUUUAUGGUAAAGCAAAAGCAAGAAAAGAUAUGAGGAGUUUCCUGCAAGAGGAUAUUUCCAACAUGAGCUUGUCCAUCCACUGCUGCUGGAAAAGACAAAUUUGCAAAAUUUCAGGCUCUCAAUAGGUCAUCCGGUCUUCCUCCUACAAACAGAAUAUCUGCUCUGGUCCUGACAGUUGUUUGUCUAGUCAGUACUCAAAGAUCACCAUUGAUGGAGAUCAUUCUGCCUCCAGGCAAUCUGUAUUCUAUAUCUCUUUUCCUGAGAGAUUUUUCUUUGUAUGUGUCUUGAAUAUUCUGUGUAGCUGCUACUUGACCUAUUCACUGAGGACAUGGAAAAGAUUUUUUCUUUUUUCAUAAGGAGUUUGCAAGUCAACACACCUGAUGGUUUUUUUUGUUGUUGUUUUUUUGUAUCUUGCAUUUUUCAAUGUGUGAUGUGUACCAAUAAGAGCAAUAAUGGGAGUUCAGAUCUGAAAACAGUGCCUGACUCUACUGUACCAUCAAUUGUCAGCUGUGGAUGCUAAAAGACCUAAAAGUUUGAAGUUCAGACUGGAGUUCAGAUGGUGUAUUUUGGCUGGGGUCCAGCAUUACUAGAAAUCCAUCUUGACGUAGAGAGAGCAGCCGUAACAAGCUGGGCUGAUGGGCUGCCAGCCAGGCUCUUCUAAAGUAGUGGAAGAAACCUGUUUCAUGAGUUGGGUAUAAACUAUGUAACAGAGCCAGAGACAAAAUGCAUCCCAACAUUAAUGUCCAGGAUUACCAGCUGCUCACACAGCUUGUCUGGGGGCAUCCAGAAUGCCAGGAAACGCCUGGUAGCUGUUGUAUAUAGACAUAUUCUGUGAGGCACAAAGAAAUUGCAUCAAGGACUUUCAAACUACAAAACAUCAGAAAAUGCUACGAAAUACUUUUGGAAGUCAAAAACACUUUGAGGAGUAAUCUCGGCCUCAUAGGACAGCAUCCAUGAUGCUGGACACUUGGUUCCCAUUCCAGUUUUUGCCACUCAAGUAUGGAUGCAAAAUACAGAGGCAUAUUGUCUGCUGUCAUAACUCAUCUGCGAAGCAGAUGUUUCUUUUGGGGGAAUUAUUCAUGCUAAAGAUCACACUUCAAAGUAAACAAUAAUUGUCAUUUGUUGCCUGUUAAAAAAAGAAAAAAAUGAAAGCUGGAAAUCAAACUAAUGAGUACAUUUCCUCAAGGGAACAGACAGAACUGGGAAUAUGAUCAUUUUGCAAAGCUUCUGAUAAAUACAUAGGUUGCUCUGAAAGAAAUGCUGCUUUAUUUCUGUGGCAACUACACUGGAUGCAAAGAACACGAUAACACUGAUAGAGCACAUUUUCAGCUACAAAACACUUUUUCAACAUAGUCACCACCAUUAGCUGUGUAUUUUUGCCAACUAUGAAGAGGACUCUGCGUGCUGUGCACAAAAAAUUCUGCACAAGCAGAUGUGACCCACUGUUUCACACCUGUUACGGUGGCAUCACUGCUAGGAAAAUGUUGCCUAUGCGGUCCGUCUGAAUAGAUGGAAGUUGGAAGGCACCAAUUCCAACUGUGUGGUGGGACAGUCCAGCCAAGAUUGUCAAUGUGUUCCAUGGUCUUCAAACAGGUACAGGGCCUGGCAUUACUGGAUUGUGAGAGAAAUGUUGUCGUCUUCUCUGGCCUGACUCUAUUAGUUUGAGCCCCCAGCUCAGUGAGCAUUGUGAUGUAGCAGUCAGGAUCUGCACUCUACCUUAGCUUUGUGAACCCAGUUCUGGAUAUAACAUGUCUCAAUUUACACAGGCCAGGAAGUCUGCAAAGAGAGUAAGCUACAGUAGAUUUUCUGAUGAGCCACUGCUUUACAGCCUCCUGGUUAAGACUUCAUUUCAGGAAGCUAAUAUGACUUUAUAAAAACCAAAAGUAGCUGCAUUCGAACUUACUAUAUGGUUUAUCCCACAGGACAGUUCUCAACUACCUUGAGUCAAGUACAGGAUGAAUGGUGUUCUCUAAGAGUUCAUGAAUAACAUGGGAAACCAGACUUGUCAUAUGGUUCUGGGACUCAGACACUGUGUCUCUACUAAUAAGUUAAAUGGUGCCAAGGAACGUUCCCAGGAGCUGGACCCAGUCUGUCUGUCUGUGUAGCUGCACUGCCAGAGCGAUCCUUUUGCCAUAGAGAUGCAGACCUCUAUUUUGAUAUUUGAUAUUUUGGAUUUGCUGAAUGACCACAGCCAACAAAAUUAUUUCAUCAGCUAGUUUCUGACCUUUAAUAUCUGACCAUAUAUUUUAAAGUGUGAGAGAUACCUAUUUUACAUUUACUCCAGCUCCAUAAGGAAUGCUGUACGGACAGGAAUUCAGCAGAAAAUUUCCACUUAUUUACCAUUUACUGUCACUGAAAUUCAAGAAGUUAUUUCAAAAAAUGAGGAAAAAAUACUGUGAUUUCUACUAUUUGUUUCUUCUUGGAAGUUCCAUGGAUCAUUUAUCAAUGAACAAAAGGCUAAUUAAAAGGCUAGACCUAGUGCAAUUACUUUGAUGAACUUUGAGAGUGGUUGUUUAAUGCCAUAGCCUUCAUUAUGUUAUGCUAAAUAUGUUCUCUGCAAGUUUGCAUCCCAAAGAUGAUGCUGUUUUUGUUGGACUAGCUUGAGGAAAAAUGCUGUAUGUUUGAGCUCUUGGGAUGAGUGUCUUACUUGGAAGGUAGGAAGAAAAUGUUGAUGUUCUCUGGAUUUGUGUGUGUUAAAGCUGACAAUUCAAGACGUGUCUGUGGUAGUUUUAUUCCUUAGCUCCUAACAGAAACCUGUCUCCCUGAGCUGAUUCCAGAUUUAUAAGCACAGUGUGUACAUUGUUACAGCACAGAGCGCAGGAUAAUUAAACAGCUGCUUAGCACUGAGCUCCUUCAUUCUUCAAUAAGCAGAUGUUUUGUCUUGUUGCUGAUUUCAAACAACCCACGAUAACAUACUAUAUGCAUAGCAUUACUCAUAUUUUUAAUAUUUUGGUGCUUUCCUAUCCAAAGAUCAAAGCUCCAUGCCCCAUUACAUGAGGUUCUGCACAGGCCGUUAGCACAGAAGAGAUCUUAAGUGAGUGCCAAUCAGUGCGUCUCCACUGAAUCCAGGGGAGCAACAGCAGUUCGCGCUGGCUGACAUUUCCCUUGCAGAUGUCAGACGAGAUGCCAUGAUUUACAUACCAAUGGCGGUGAGUGGGAGGAUGAAGUAACAAGAGGAGCAGAAAUGUGCAGGGAUGCAGAAGUCGGAGCUUGCCAUUUGCCUUUCUCCUGCAGCUGAACAAUGGCAAUCUGAGUUAUUCAUUCCCAUCCACCUCUUAACAACAGGAUUCGCUUCUGAUGAUAUCUUGUGGCCUUUUGAGUAUGUUAGCAGAGGAACUAGAUUCUUUUCUGUAUUUGCCUUCUGUGUUAUCAGACACAAUAAGCAAUUCCCAAAAGGCAGAUGAGGUGAAUAAAGCAAAGUAUCAGGUUAAAUGAUGUAUAUUCCUUAUCCAUUUAGGAAGGUGUUUAUGCAUCGUCGUUUUAUGCUUUGUAUUUGCUGGAUUUAUGAGUGGCAUUUGUGUGCAGAGCCAUGAAAGCAGAUGGAGCCCCGAAGGAGGAGCCCUUCUAUCCCACCCAGUUUGUGGUCUCCCUGUCUGCUGCUGAAGCUGCUUCCUGGGGCAGUGCGUUCAGCUGCUAAGAGCGUGUAAAUAGAAGGAGAAAUAUUAUAAAUGUCAGGAAGUGGCAGCCAGACUGUUCCAAGGUUGCGUACUGCGUGCUUGUGAAGCAAGAUGGCCUGACUCCAUUAUCAGUGUUGUCCAUCAAACGCUGAUUUCCAAAGGUCUGUAUCUUCCACUUACUGAUAUUUCCAUUUGUGUACUUCACUGGGAAGAGUUUCAGACAAUGUUGAUAAUUUUGGACUUCCUGAUCCUUAGGAGGAAUAAAUUUGCCCUGCUAGGGAACGCACUGUUCCUAUCCCUAACUGAGUUAUACGCAUUCGUACGUAAUCUCAGUAUAACUAUAAUGGGAAUACAAUUUAUACUUUAAUUUAUGCUUGUUCUCUGGUUGGGAAAAUGCCCAUGAACUGUGAGGAAGCAGAUCUGCUUGUUCUAUAGAUAAACUGUUGUUGUAUGUGGUUCACAUCCUGCAUUUUUAUGUAUCGUUCCAAUUCCUCAGCUGUUUCCAAUUCAUGUACCUUUCUGAAAGUGAAUGAAGCAGCUGUGCCAAAUUCAGAGCCUGGCUGAGUCCAGCUUCAUGUCUGGAGGAGCUGAAUUUCCCAAGGCUGGUGCUUCACCAUUAACUGAUGCAGAAGAAAUUAGAAUUCCUCUUUCCCUUUCACAUAAUGGCAGAAUUCUGAAAUUAUUGUGUAACAUGCCCUUCCUCCCAUUACACGGUCUUCAUUCUGUUCACCAUUAUUUUUAAUAGACCAAUUUUCUCUCUUGCUUUUCAUCCACCGAGUCUUUACUAUUAUUAUCAUCAAAGUGUCUGUGGGCUGCCAGCAUUUGAUAUUUCAUUUCACUGAUUUAAUUAUGUCUGCAGCCUGUUCUGGGGCUGUUUAUUUUUAUAGAUCUCCGAAUCCUCUUCUUUAUCAAAUUGUUUACAUCUGAAUCCAUUUGUUCACUGUUUAUAUGUCACUUUGCAAUUGUAUCCUUUUGUACUUUGCAUUUGUUCCUGAGGGGUGUUUUAGUUUGAUCAAAUUUUACAACUUUGCAGGCAGACAACUAAAAGGAGAUCUUCCUAUCUAGGGGUGAAAGGCAGCUCUGGACACAGCUAACACCAUCUGCUUUUUCACUUUAUGCUUCCUGUGGGCAUAUGUGAGCAUGGAGCCACGUCUGUUACCAGCUAUUGGGAACUGACAGCUCAUGGGAAGCUGGCAGAGUGUUAGAUUAAAGGAAGAGAUGUUUUACACACCUUGCUCUUCCAUGUGCAGUUUACAUAGGGUAUAAAUACAUAGGUAAUGUAGGGUAUAUGUAAACAGGGUGUUUACUGAGCUUAGUUUAGUUUCCAAAGAAUGGAGGUUCUUUGGCUCUGGGCAGCCUGGUCUAGAGGCUGGCAACCCUGCCUGUGGCAGGGGGGUUGAAUAUAGAUGAUCUUUGAGGUCUUUUUCAACUUUUCAACCCAGGCCAUUCUAUGAGUCUGUGACGCUUUACUGCAGAGGGUUGCAGAAGAGGAUGACAGCUUUGAAUUUUGCUGACUGACCUCCUGUCACUGCAACUACUUUAGUAGUGGUGAUGCACGUAUGCGUGCACGUGCUGUAGUUCUGUUGAGUUUCUUGCUUCUACUAUAAUUAAGAGUCCAUAAAUAAGUGCUUCUAAUGCACUUGACUAGAGAAAGUAAUUGCUAUUUAAAUGGAUAAUUUAUUGUGUGCUAAUUAAAAGCCCAAUAGGUGAGAACAUUUUAAUGAAAUGUAACUUAACUCAAUAAGGAGGUUUUUAAUAAUCAUUAGUUGCCUGAAAUAUACCUGAUGCAGCAGUUCUCUAAUGACAAGCUCUAAUUGAUGUUUUUAACAUGUAUUUAUUGUGGAUAAAUUGCUAUUUUGUUGUAUAUCUCUCUUUCCCUGUCUUUCAAAUGCACAGCUUCCCAGCUGGAGGCCCCAUUGUGCCUUAUUACAGUCUAUUCUUCCCUGCUUUGGCAACCCCUUUUGCUGGUCAACUCAUCUCAGUUACACUCGCAUGAAGCAGGAUGUGAGCAAACAGAUGUGGGGAGCUGCCAGUUUCUACCAAAGAAAAGGUGCUAGCUUUUAAUUUCAGUUGACUAUUAGAACGUACAGUAGAGAUCUGCCUUCUUUCCCUGUUUGACUUACAGUAUGAGGCAAAGAAACCCUCGAAGUGUCCAGGGUUCCAAGUGCUCAUCUUAGAGCAGAAUGAUUAUGCAAAAAUGGUAAACCUCAGUGUCUCUAGGUAAUAAAUUUCACUUUCAAAGAAGGAAGCUUAAGAACAGGCUGGAAAGUGAAUGUGCCUCACACAAUGGAGCAGCGUGCCAGCUUUGUUUGAAUUGAGCAACCUGGAAGAAUCUGAGCUGGGAACAAGUAGCAUCUGAUUUAAGGACUGAGAGAGUAGAUGGCUGAUUUUCUUCGCAAAAAUAGCAUGAGAAAGCUGUACUGACCUUUCCAGGAUGAGAGGUAAUGGCUUAAAUUGCCCCAAGGGAGGUUCAGGUCAGAUAUCAGGAAGAAUUUCUUCUCAGAGCAAUGAGGCAUUGGCACAGGCUGCCCAGGGAAGUGAUGGAGUCACUGUCCCUGGAGGUGUUCAGGAGAAGCAUAGAUGUGGCACUGAGGGACCUGGUUUAGUGGACACGGGGGGGAAUGGGUUCGUGGUUGGACUGGGUGAUCUUAGUAGUCUUCUCCAGCCUUUAUGAUUCCAUAAUUUCACUGUGCUUUUCUGGUGUCUUUUUCCAGCACUGGGCAAUGACUGUUCUUAUGUUUCUGAGAAUUUAAAGAAUGGUCUUCUGAGACUGAAAUGCACAGGACGUAGAGCGGAGGCUGUUAGUAGCUCUGGUGGGAUGGGGUAACCCUUAAAAAGUCACUGCACUUUCCUGGGCCUCCUUUUCCCCCACUGUUAAAUGGAGAUAACUACAUGUUUCCUUCAUGAAGCCAUUUGGUAUGUCUUGUUGAAAAAUCUAUAUAUAAGUGUUCAUCAUUUUUGUCACUCAGGCACUGAUAUAGGAAUUUCUGGAGCACUCCUACAUGUUGAGAAUCACACUGAUACUGUGGAUGAGAAUAUUAAAUUCUGGUGCUGAACCUGGCUAAUUUGAAAAUGACGUAUUUUUCUAGAGUGAUGCCUCAGAUGCAUCUUAUAUAAGAAAAUGAAUUACAUUUAUAGCUAGAAAGGACUGCAGGAUUUUAUGAUCAUCUCAGCACUCCUGUAUUUAGUAAAUUAUCUUGUGUUUGAUUAUGACAGGGUACCUCUUGGCUUAUGUCAAAGUUCUUGUUUCCUGGAGUUCUCCCUGUUUCCUGGAAACUAAACUCUGGUGGAAAGCAUUUGUUACUUUGGUUGUUUUUUUUUCUUUUUCUUUUUUUGGUCUGAUUUGUUUGUUUGGGUUUUUUUUUUUUUUUUUUUGUCUUUUAAGUCUAAACAACCCAUUGGUCCUACAGCUCUUUGGUUCCUGCCACUGAAAGGAGAUACCCAUAGAUUAAAUAGUUAAAUAUGAAACCCCCUUGGGGUUUGAUCUGAUGAAGAUGAUGCUUAUUUAGAGAAGGAGCAAAUACUUUAACAAGUACUAUCCUGAUGAACUAUCUAACUUGACUUCUGAGAAGUAACUAUUAAAUGGAGAGAAGAAACCAUGAAAUGUAAGAGCGAGUUUGAAUGCUGGUAUCAUAAUCUGAUCGUAGUCAUGCAUCAUAAUUAAAUGUUAAUUUAAUUGUGGGCUUCGGAUGUCAUGUUUGGAAUUCUCAGUUUCAAUCCAGUUUUUAUUAAACAAUGAAGAACCUUCUGAAGGAUUCAGAAUAACAGUUCAACAAAUCAAGUCAACAAACAGGGAUCCACUUUAAGGUAAGAAAGAGAAAAUAGUGGGCAAAAGCUGAUAGAGUGCACUGGAUGCAGGCAGAAUAGUCAGAGGAAAACCAAUAGGGCAUGAUUUGGAGAGACAGUAUCUUUCACACAACCAAUAGCAUUUGGAGAAAAUGAACAAGCUUUCAAGCACUUAAAUGCUUCCGCAGGUCUGGCAAAGAAAACAAAAAACUUGAAGCUUUGUCCGUCCUGUAAAGAAAUUAGCGUUUAACUUAAGAUAAUCACCUGGACAAUUAGGGAGACAAAAAGGUGAACUCCUUAGCCAUAACGGAGCAUCUGGGGAUACAAACAAAAAGUCAAGAGUUAAUGUGCCCCUGCAAGCCAGAGAGAGAGGGAGUGGGAGCUUAGAAAGAGCUCUUGGGAAAGGUGGGUACCACCAAACCGUUGCCUCUGCUGGCUCCACGGGUUUUAGUGCCUGGGAGAACUCUGAAUUUAAUGUCCCAAAUAUUUGAGUAGUGUCCUCUGGGGCAACUGGUACAUUAGGACUCAGAAAAUUAAUUGCCAGACUUGCACCUAAUUGUACAACAAAGCAGUAAACCAAUUCUGGAAAACCACAGUGAGGACUAAUUCAGAAGUGUCUUAACACAGAAUACGAAGAACGUUCUUUCCUCCUCUCAGCUCCAGAUUUCUACCCCAAAUGUUAAAGAAGAAACCUUAAACUUGUCUGAAUUACAAGCAAAACUGUCAGCCUCCCUCAAAAUGGGGAAAGAAAGUACUUCUGAAAUGCUUAUGCAUUAUAUAACAUGUACCCAUAUAUCAUUUAUACGGACAUUAGCAACUUGUGUUAUUUCCUCAUUUUGGAGGUGAUGCAUUAAAAGUGAAAAUGCCACUACUGCCAUUUUCUUCUUACAUAAAGCAGCUUUGUGUCUACAGUGCCUGUGUGCAGAUCUUCUCCAUGAUUUUCAAAAAGCUGAUUGAAGGCCAUUGCAGUAGCUUGGGUAGGGUGGCCAAACAGAUGAAGAUGGCAUAUAAAGAGCCUGGUUGGCAGCAAUGCCAAUUUCAUGCACAUGCCCUGCCUUGAUUAAAGUAGAGAUGUUUGCAUAUGUCUUGUGUCCAAAGGCAUUUUUGAUGCACAUCUCCUGCUGAGCCAGCAAAGCUCCUCUCACGCCUAUUGCUUUUGCAUAGCAGAUACACAUUAAUGGAAGCAGUCAGAGCAUGCAUCUACCUGGUUCAUAAUUUGCACAUCUCUGGAAAUAUCCUUAAAAUGCAGACGAAGUUUAAAAAGAAAUAGUAGAGAGUUGCAAAAAAUCCAGAUUAACAGUUGAAAGUUGAAAUAGUUUAUCCUCUUACACAGGGGUAUUAAUUACAAAGCGUAUCUUCAGUCUCAUUUGCAGAGUUUCCCUUUCGCUAUCUGGAACCUGAAGCAGUAGAUUAAUGAGAGAGGCUGGGAAGGUGCCACCUUGUAAGGAGCUGCAUGGAAACGAACCACUUAAAAGGCACAAACAAGUUUUAUUGCAACUGUCAAACCUAGGAACCAUGUAAUGUCCUACUAUAGAAUAUACUGUAACUAAUGAACUAUUUACACACAUUUAUUGUGCUGUUGUGUUUUGUUUUCAGAUGUCCAUAUGUAAGAAAACAUUUUGAAUUUUCUGCUAAAGAUAUCCAAAUUAACAUCUAAAGGAGUUUUUCCCCCCUUUUUAUAUUGUCUCUGGGUUAUAUGGGUGCUGCGAGGCUGCUCAGCCCAUUCUGUAGAGAUUCCUGCAUAAAUGUUAUUAAUAGAGUGCAGGAGAGGAUGAUAGAUAUGAGUCUUACAGAAAUGAAGCUAAUACUGAGACUCACUGUUUUCAUUUCCUUGUGCUUUUGCAUUUCAAUUUCAUAGCACUGAAACUCUUGGUGGGCAUAGUGUAGAUGGAUGGGUUGAUGGUGGAACUGGAAGAUCUUGGUGGUCUUUUCCAACCUUUAUGAUUAUUUGACUCUGUGACUUCAGAGAGGACAAAACACCACUCCUAUUCACAAUGAAGGAGCCACCUCCGAUAGCAAGGCUUUGCCACCACCGCGGGACACCGAGUGCCGUGAGCGGUGCUGAACUGAGCAAUGAGGAGGAGAUGGCUGCACACAUAGCAUGGAAGCUUUGACUUUAUGGUGUCUCCAACUCAGAAAAGCCUGCUUGUGGACCCAAAGCCCAGAGGAGAUACUUGCUAUAACUGCCUAUAAAAGGAGAACGUGGAUUGAUGCAAACUCCACUGACAUGGAUGGGAUUCUUUCUUUGUGAUUCAGUGAGCUUUGGAUCAGUUCUGGAGAAGGAAAUUGAACAGUUAUCAAGCAAAUCUAGUCUUACAUAAACAAAAAUGCCUCCUACAAAAUCCAGAGGGCAUGCUGUCAUCCAGCACAAGUCUCACCUAUCAAAAAGGAAAAACGUACUGAACUGAGGGAUCCAGCAUGGAACGAGAUGACAGGUGAGGCACAGCAACACAAAUAGGCAGCAGUGAAUUGGACAAAUCUGCCACCUGCAAGCAGAGAGCAUGAGCUCAGCUAGUGCAAGAAUCUGGUGGCUCUGUGCUGCCCUGCUGGAAGGUCUCCUGACGCCUCCGGACUCCUGCUUCCCUGUAACCACUCCAGUCUCUUCCUGUCACAAUGAAAUCAUUCCUGCUGCAGUGAAGGGAUUAAUUAGGUCUACCAGUACUUCACUACCCUCAAUCCUAACUGAAAAUCAGACAGCUUUUCCUGUUUCGCACGUCUGUGCUCAGAGAUGUGACUGACCUAACGCUUGGCACCUUAGAAAAAUCAUGCCCCAGUGUGGAUCAAGACUCAGGAAACAAAUCCUCUCCAUAACUGCGCAGAGCAGGGCAUAAGCUAAUGCCAGAAUGAUGUGAUGCUUGACGCUUUGACCUUGCUUUCUGUGCAAGACUCUCCAAGCUUCAUACCACUGGGAGCGCAUCAUUUGUGACGAGCAAAAAAGUCAGAGCAACUGGUUCUUAAAAGAUUUGUCAUAGUUUUGCUUUAAAAAUAAUUCAUCUCAUAGCUGAAUUCAGUAUUUUGGGUCAGUUAUAAUUGAAUCUGCUCAGACAGAGAAGUUAUAUGAGACUAAUUACCUACUGUCUCUACUCGAAGUAAAUAUUAAAGGCAAGAAAAAUAAACAUGGGCUGAAGUGUGAUAUGCAAAUCACAUUGAUAACUAUCAGGUUAAGACCAUGAAUUUAUAUUCUUUUAAUCAUUAUGAGGUUUAGAUGGUAUCUCCAGCAAAGAAAAGUCAGUAUGAUGGUAUAUGACUGUCUAUGAUUUGGUCCCUAAUUGCAAACAACAAAAAUACAUUAACCUGCUUGUAUCCUGUGUCUCAUUAUUGUCAUAAAAAUGAUAAGAAAAUUCCUUCUUUGUGAAAUCCAAGCUGCUUUACUCUUUUCAAGGACUGCUUUUGUAAGAAAGGAGAGUAAGGCUUAGGUCACUUAUACUGAAUAUAAGGUAGAGGGAGAUGUUUCAGAAGCAGAGCACUUUAAACAUCUUUAUUCCUACCAAAGUUAAUAAAGUGAAGCCAAUUCUGAGCA